rnacentral:rRNA from 1 species
UAGGGAAUUUUGCGCAAUGGGGGAAACCCUGACGCAGCAACGCCGCGUGAUUGAUGAAGCCCUUCGGGGUGUAAAGAUCUGUCAGUGGGGACGAAACUUGACGGUACCCACAGAGGAAGCAUCGGCUAACUCCGUGCCAGCAGCCGCGGUAAUACGGGGGAUGCAAGCGUUGUCCGGAAUCAUUGGGCGUAAAGAGUUCGUAGGUGGCACGUUAAGUCUGGUGUUAAAUGCAGGGGCUCAACCUCUGUUCGGCACUGGAUACUGGCGAGCUUGAAUGCGGUAGAGGUAAAGGGAAUUCCUGGU